AUAUUCACGUUCAUCUCCGUCACAAUGUACGUCUACAGAUAUGAAACUGAGAAACCGUUAGGUGAGGAGGAGAAUGACGACAGUAAUAACAAAAAACGGUAUUUAGCGUAAUUGAAUAUUCCAAUCAAGGAUAUCAGUGACAUCAUUUGAUUUAAGUUUAUUAAGAAUCAAAAACCGUUUAAUUUUAUUUUUUAAAUGUACACUGUAACGACAACGACAAUUCGGGAUUGCGAAUCGCACAAUACUAAUAAUUAUAAGUUGAUACUAGGUAAAUGCUUAAAAUGUUUACGAAUUUAAUAGUGAAUUUAAAUUUCCAACUAAACUUUAUCUCGAAAAUUUUGUAAGCAACGAAUUUAUCGAUACCUAUUUUUCAAUAUUAUUUUUACCUAUUGUAUAUCGACUAGUGCGAUAGUCCUAAUGAUAUUUUAUUGACGUCGCCGUCUUGAUACAGAUAAAUUAUUAUAGUGUUAUGAUAAUAUUAUGCUAUUGUAAAAACGUGUAUAAGUGUCUGAAUAUAUAAUUUUUAAUAUUAUUGGUAUUUUUCUAGAGAUUAGCUGGGUAGGCCCGGGCCUACCAGGCCUACCUACUGGCUACGCCCCUGGAAGUCGCAAUUAAAUUGUGACCACUAUUUUUAUAUUUAUUUAAAGUUUUAAAGUAUAGUUUUAUACAUA